rnacentral:lncRNA from 1 species
UCAAGACCAAAUAAUACUAAAUUAGAUUAUAUUUACCCAACCAAUGGACGUAUUUAUCCAAGUUUACUUCACUAAAUUAAUGCUUUGUAUUUCUUUCGCAUACCUUAAAUCAUUUUGUUGUAAACUUGUUUGACCCGUAAAAAAAGGAAUAAAAAUCUAAUAGUAGUAAUUUCUUAGAACCCAACAGAACUCAUGUGUCAUAAAUGUUUGUCAUGAUAUAUCUAACUUCAUCUUCAAUUUUCCUUUAAAGACAAGAAAGAUAACACUGAUAUAAUAUGUGGACAAUUAAGUACCCCUUUUUAAAGCUAACUCCUUCGGUUAAACAUACUGUUUCAAUCCAAUUUUAACCUAUAAAAGUUCGAUCUUACCUUUUGUUAAACUAACUCAAUAAUACUUAAUUGACAAUCAUACACUUGUUAAAUAUAAAUGCAAACUAAUUCUACUAAUAGAAUCAAGCAACACACAAUAGAAUGAUGGACAGGAUAACAAGGAUAAAAGGGAAAAAUGAACCAUCAGGUAGCGAAAACUCCCUUGGUACUUUGAAACAUAUACGCGGACAUCGGAUCAUAAAUCGAGCAAAGCUUAGCAACAAAAUUCGAAAUUGGCAGCAAUCAAAUUCAAAUAGAACCCGAAGGACGACUCCAAAAUUCAAACACCCACUUCAGCGUUGUUCAUUCUCGAACAAAACUCCAAGACGAUUUCUCCUAUCUCUGUUUCUGUAUUUUUUAUAGAUACAAUCGACUUUCUGUGUAUUUAGCAUUGUAAGGUCAAGGAAAUGGGGGAAGGAGCAGCGGCUAUAGAGGUUCAGGUGGUUAUGGUUUUUUGACAGACUAGAAUAUUAGGGUUUUCCUCAUGUGUUGUAGUCUUCCAUGAAGAUGGCUGCUAGUGUCAAGAAGAAGGGGGAGUGUCUAGGGUUUUUUUUCAAUGCGCAAGUCUUAUUAAAAGAAAAAGGAGAGGGUAGGGUUAGUAGAUAUUAGGCUUGGGUUAUUUAAUUUGGGCCUAGAUUUAAAUUG